rnacentral:rRNA from 1 species
UACGGGGGGGCAAGCGUUGUUCGGAAUUACUGGGCGUAAAGGGCUCGUAGGCGGCCAACUAAGUCGGACGUGAAAUCCCUCGGCUUAACCGGGGAACUGCGUCCGAUACUGGAUGGCUUGAGAUUGGGAGAGGGAUGCGGAAUUCCAGGUGUAGCGGUGAAAUGCGUAGAUAUCUGGAGGAACACCGGUGGCGAAGGCGGCGUUCUGGACUGCAACUGACACUGAGGAACGAAAGCCAGGGAGCAAACGGG